UACGAAGGGGGCUAGCGUUGUUCGGAUUUACUGGGCGUAAAGCACACGUAGGCGGAUUGGUCAGUUAGGGGUGAAAUCCUGGAGCUCAACUCCAGAACUGCCUUUAAUACUGCCAGUCUCGAGUCCGGAAGAGGUAAGUGGAACUCCUAGUGUAGAGGUGGAAUUCGUAGAUAUUAGGAAGAACACCAGUGGCGAAGGCGGCUUACUGGUCCGGUACUGACGCUGAGGUGCGAAAGCGUGGGGAGCAAACAGG
rnacentral:rRNA from 1 species